rnacentral:rRNA from 1 species
CCCUUAGAUGUUCUGGGCCGCACGCGCGCUACACUGUUCGACGCAGCGAGUCUUAACCUUGACCGAAAGGUUUGGGUAAUCUUCAGCAAAGUCGAACGUGAUGGGGAUCGAUCAUUGCAAUUAUUGAUCGUGAACGAGGAAUUCCUAGUAAGUGCAAGUCAUCAGCUUGCGCUGAUUACGUCCCUGCCCUUUGUACACACCGCCCGUCGCUACUACCGAUUGAAUGGUUUAGUGAGGUCUCUGGAUUGACGCUGGCUAGGGGGCGACCCUUGGCCAGACUGUUGAGAAACUGCUCAAACUUGAUCAUUUAGAGGAAGUAAAAGUCGUAACA